AGAUCGGUUGUCGUCCAGUCCUUUCCCGUGGCUGAGAUCGAUCGAGAGAGUCAGGGAUCUCUUUGGACUGCUGUUUGGCCUCUAAACUUUCGAGAGAGCUGGUUUGGACUUGGUUGGUUGGUGGUGCA
rnacentral:ribozyme from 1 species